ensembl:lncRNA
CGUCUCUUUAUGAUCGUGAUGAGUCAUAUUUCAGGAUUUUGGGGUUUAAGUAGCUCUGAAGUAACAGAAACAGAAAGAAAAACCCUCAAAAUGCUGCAUCAUCUGCUCCACGUGCUCAAGAUUCAGGCUCAUUCCAGCUCAAAUCAUCUGGGAUUUCCUGUUCAACUAUCUCUGAUUUACUUGAAUUUUUUUUUUUUUAUCAUAAACCACAGAUAUUUAAAACGGUAUCUGUGAAGUUUUAGCUUCAUACAUCAGAUACUUCCUGAGAUAAGCUUUCUUAGAAGUUGCCGGUCCACCCACUUUCAGCAGGUUUUUCUUUUUCUCAUUGAAAUUUGAGGCCGUUUGAACAACAAUAACUCAGGAACUAAGAUAGAAACAUGAAAUUUUCACAGUUAUUCCUCAUCACGCCAUUGAUUCAAAAUCAGCAAACAAUGAACAUUUAAAUGUGAAUAUUUAUUAAGAUAUUUGUGAAAUUUUAGCUUGAUAUAUCAAAUACUUUCCGAAAUAGUUGUUUUUUUUUUAAAUUGCCCGUCUACCUGCUUUCAGCUUUUUUUUCUUUUUUUUUUUUUUUUUUUUUGUCAUAUUGAAAUUUGGGGCUGUUUGAACAACAAUAACUCAGGAUCUAUUAAAGAUAAAAGCCUGGUAUUUUCACAGUUAUUUCACAUCAUAUCAUUGAUUUGGAAUCUGCAAUAUUGAACAAUUAGAUAAAAUAGUAUCUGAGACUACAUGUUUUUUCCAAAUUGCACAUGAAACCAUUUUGUUUCUUCACACAUUGACUCAGAAACUAUUAAAUAUCACAGCCUCAAGUUCUCACUGUUGUUUCUCAUCAUGUCAUUGAUUUAGAGUAUGUAAUAGAGGACAUUUAAAUAUGACUAUUUAUAAAUAUAUUUGUCAAAAGACAUUAGAAGUUUCAGUGUGAAAAUAUUUUUUUCCCCACAUUUUCCCACUUUAAAACGGGUCAGUUUUGACCCGCAGGACGACACGAGGGUUAAGGUGCGCUACAGUGAAACCACGACUCUGAUUUCCAGUUUUGUGGCCUUCAAAAGGGCAAAAAAAAUGUGACGUUUGUGUUCUCAAGUCGGUCGUUCAGUCGAGUCGAAAGUCUCCGCAGCACAAUAGCUCUUUGUUUGUCGUCGGUUCGGGCUGUCGAUGGGACUCGGAGCUGUCAUCCCAACCCUGAGCACGUAUCACUACUGUUUAUCAUCUGGCACCAGUAGAGAUGUUUGCUUUCAACUUUCCCCCCCAUCACAGCACAACCAUCAGGAAGAUCCACGCUCCAUCCUGCCAAGAAGUGGCCUAGAUUACGGCGGUGUGCAUUAGGACGCUUUGAUCAGGAGCAUUUUUAGCCAGCGACACCGAGAUGAUCCACCGUCGUCCCGUCGCUGAAACUCCUGCAAUCCCUCAUCAGAGCUGCCGCCGAGGGUUACUCUGAAGAUGUAGUUCGCUGCAGAGUGCUGCCUCGAAAUGUAGUUUACGUUGGUGUGACAGAGUCAUUUGGAUUU